AAGAGAUGUGAUGAUGCUAAUCCAUAGUUUCUGCAUUUGAAUGAUGAAUAACAACAUGCACUACCAUCUGAUCUCUU